UGCGAUGGAUAUUUUUCAGGAUUUCUGAG
rnacentral:piRNA from 1 species